rnacentral:rRNA from 1 species
CUACGGGCGGCACCAGUGAGGAAUUUUGCGCAAUGGGGGAAACCCUGACGCAGCAACGCCGUGUGAGUGAAGAAGGCCUUCGGGUCGUAAAGCUCUGUCAAGUGGGAAAAAAGUCUUUCGGUAAAUAGCCGGAAGGCCUGAUGGUACCACUAAAGGAAGCACCGGCUAACUCCGUGCCAGCAGCCGCGGUAAUACGGAGGGUGCUAGCGUUGUUCGGAAUUAUUGGGCGUAAAGAGCGUGUAGGCGGCUUGGUAAGUCAGAUGUGAAAGCCCUGGGCUCAACUCAGGAAGUGCAUUUGAUACUGCUUUGCUUGAGUAUGGGAGAGGAGAGUGGAAUUCCCAGUGUAGAGGUGAAAUUCGUAGAUAUUGGGAGGAACACCCGUGGCGAAGGCGACUCUCUGGACCAAUACUGACGCUGAGACGCGAAAGCGUGGGGAGCAAACAGGAUUAGAUACCCCGGUAGUC